rnacentral:rRNA from 1 species
GGUUAAGCGACUAAGCGUACACGGUGGAUGCCCUGGCAGUCAGAGGCGAUGAAGGACGUGCUAAUCUGCGAUAAGCGUCGGUAAGGUGAUAUGAACCGUUAUAACCGGCGAUUUCCGAAUGGGGAAACCCAGUGUGAUUCGUCACACUAUCAUUAACUGAAUCCAUAGGUUAAUGAGGCGAACCGGGGGAACUGAAACAUCUAAGUACCCCGAGGAAAAGAAAUCAACCGAGAUUCCCCCAGUAGCGGCGAGCGAACGGGGAGCAGCCCAGAGCCUGAAUCAGUGUGUGUGUUAGUGGAAGCGUCUGGAAAGGCGCGCGAUACAGGGUGACAGCCCCGUACACAAAAAUGCACAUGCUGUGAGCUCGAUGAGUAGGGCGGGACACGUGGUAUCCUGUCUGAAUAUGGGGGGACCAUCCUCCAAGGCUAAAUACUCCUGACUGACCGAUAGUGAACCAGUACCGUGAGGGAAAGGCGAAAAGAACCCCGGCGAGGGGAGUGAAAAAGAACCUGAAACCGUGUACGUACAAGCAGUGGGAGCACGCUUAGGCGUGUGACUGCGUACCUUUUGUAUAAUGGGUCAGCGACUUAUAUUCUGUAGCAAGGUUAACCGAAUAGGGGAGCCGAAGGGAAACCGAGUCUUAACUGGGCGUUAAGUUGCAGGGUAUAGACCCGAAACCCGGUGAUCUAGCCAUGGGCAGGUUGAAGGUUGGGUAACACUAACUGGAGGACCGAACCGACUAAUGUUGAAAAAUUAGCGGAUGACUUGUGGCUGGGGGUGAAAGGCCAAUCAAACCGGGAGAUAGCUGGUUCUCCCCGAAAGCUAUUUAGGUAGCGCCUCGUGAAUUCAUCUCCGGGGGUAGAGCACUGUUUCGGCAAGGGGGUCAUCCCGACUUACCAACCCGAUGCAAACUGCGAAUACCGGAGAAUGUUAUCACGGGAGACACACGGCGGGUGCUAACGUCCGUCGUGAAGAGGGAAACAACCCAGACCGCCAGCUAAGGUCCCAAAGUCAUGGUUAAGUGGGAAACGAUGUGGGAAGGCCCAGACAGCCAGGAUGUUGGCUUAGAAGCAGCCAUCAUUUAAAGAAAGCGUAAUAGCUCACUGGUCGAGUCGGCCUGCGCGGAAGAUGUAACGGGGCUAAACCAUGCACCGAAGCUGCGGCAGCGACGCUUAUGCGUUGUUGGGUAGGGGAGCGUUCUGUAAGCCUGCGAAGGUGUGCUGUGAGGCAUGCUGGAGGUAUCAGAAGUGCGAAUGCUGACAUAAGUAACGAUAAAGCGGGUGAAAAGCCCGCUCGCCGGAAGACCAAGGGUUCCUGUCCAACGUUAAUCGGGGCAGGGUGAGUCGACCCCUAAGGCGAGGCCGAAAGGCGUAGUCGAUGGGAAACAGGUUAAUAUUCCUGUACUUGGUGUUACUGCGAAGGGGGGACGGAGAAGGCUAUGUUGGCCGGGCGACGGUUGUCCCGGUUUAAGCGUGUAGGCUGGUUUUCCAGGCAAAUCCGGAAAAUCAAGGCUGAGGCGUGAUGACGAGGCACUACGGUGCUGAAGCAACAAAUGCCCUGCUUCCAGGAAAAGCCUCUAAGCAUCAGGUAACAUCAAAUCGUACCCCAAACCGACACAGGUGGUCAGGUAGAGAAUACCAAGGCGCUUGAGAGAACUCGGGUGAAGGAACUAGGCAAAAUGGUGCCGUAACUUCGGGAGAAGGCACGCUGAUAUGUAGGUGAAGUCCCUCGCGGAUGGAGCUGAAAUCAGUCGAAGAUACCAGCUGGCUGCAACUGUUUAUUAAAAACACAGCACUGUGCAAACACGAAAGUGGACGUAUACGGUGUGACGCCUGCCCGGUGCCGGAAGGUUAAUUGAUGGGGUCAGCGCAAGCGAAGCUCUUGAUCGAAGCCCCGGUAAACGGCGGCCGUAACUAUAACGGUCCUAAGGUAGCGAAAUUCCUUGUCGGGUAAGUUCCGACCUGCACGAAUGGCGUAAUGAUGGCCAGGCUGUCUCCACCCGAGACUCAGUGAAAUUGAACUCGCUGUGAAGAUGCAGUGUACCCGCGGCAAGACGGAAAGACCCCGUGAACCUUUACUAUAGCUUGACACUGAACAUUGAGCCUUGAUGUGUAGGAUAGGUGGGAGGCUUUGAAGUGUGGACGCCAGUCUGCAUGGAGCCGACCUUGAAAUACCACCCUUUAAUGUUUGAUGUUCUAACGUUGACCCGUAAUCCGGGUUGCGGACAGUGUCUGGUGGGUAGUUUGACUGGGGCGGUCUCCUCCUAAAGAGUAACGGAGGAGCACGAAGGUUGGCUAAUCCUGGUCGGACAUCAGGAGGUUAGUGCAAUGGCAUAAGCCAGCUUGACUGCGAGCGUGACGGCGCGAGCAGGUGCGAAAGCAGGUCAUAGUGAUCCGGUGGUUCUGAAUGGAAGGGCCAUCGCUCAACGGAUAAAAGGUACUCCGGGGAUAACAGGCUGAUACCGCCCAAGAGUUCAUAUCGACGGCGGUGUUUGGCACCUCGAUGUCGGCUCAUCACAUCCUGGGGCUGAAGUAGGUCCCAAGGGUAUGGCUGUUCGCCAUUUAAAGUGGUACGCGAGCUGGGUUUAGAACGUCGUGAGACAGUUCGGUCCCUAUCUGCCGUGGGCGCUGGAGAACUGAGGGGGGCUGCUCCUAGUACGAGAGGACCGGAGUGGACGCAUCACUGGUGUUCGGGUUGUCAUGCCAAUGGCACUGCCCGGUAGCUAAAUGCGGAAGAGAUAAGUGCUGAAAGCAUCUAAGCACGAAACUUGCCCCGAGAUGAGUUCUCCCUGAC